CCUUCCGUAGGUGAACCUGCGGAAGGAUCAUUAUUGAAAUUAUAGGCGAGGGUUGUAGCUGGCCUUUCGGGGCACGUGCACGCCGGAGCCCUUAAUCCAUACACACCUGUGAACUUAAUGUAAGGGUCCGUAAAAAGGCCCCUACGUCUUUCAUCAUAAACCCAGUCUAAUAGAAUGUAAUCUAUGUCCUCGCCCUAAAAAAGCGUUGAUAAACUUAUACAACUUUCAACAACGGAUCUCUUGGCUCUCGCAUCGAUGAAGAACGCAGCGAAAUGCGAUAAGUAAUGUGAAUUGCAGAUUUUCAGUGAAUCAUCGAAUCUUUGAACGCACCUUGCGCUCCUUGGUAUUCCGAGGAGCAUGCCUGUUUGAGUGUCAUUAAAUUCUCAACCCCGAACCUUUUGGUUUCGGGGCUUGGACUUGGAGCGUGCUGGCCUUCCGGGGUCGGCUCCUCUCAAAUGCAUCAGCGGAAUCUAACCUUUGGUUUCCGGAAGUCGGUGUGAUAAUCAUGUUGCGCCGUCGUCUGACCUCAAAGUCCGCUUACAAUGGUCUUUGGACAACUUAUCAAAUUUGACCUCAAAUCAGGUAGGACUACCCGCUGAACUUAAGCAUAUCAAUAAGCGGAGGAAAAGAAACUAACAAGGAUUCCCCUAGUAACUGCGAGUGAAGGGGGAAAAGCUCAAAUUUAAAAUCUGGCGGUCUCGCGGCCGUCCG
rnacentral:rRNA from 1 species